GAUGAACGCUGGCGGCGUGCUUAACACAUGCAAGUCGAACGAACCUUCGGGUUAGUGGCGGACGGGUGAGUAACGCGUGAGAAUCUGCCCUCAGGAGGGGGACAACAGCUGGAAACGGCUGCUAAUACCCCAUAUGCCGAGAGGUGAAACGAAUUUCGCCUGAGGAUGAGCUCGCGUCUGAUUAGCUAGUUGGUGUGGUAAAGGUGCACCAAGGCAUCGAUCAGUAGCUGGUCUGAGAGGAUGAUCAGCCACACUGGGACUGAGACACGGCCCAGACUCCUACGGGAGGCAGCAGUGGGGAAUUUUCCGCAAUGGGCGAAAGCCUGACGGAGCAACGCCGCGUGAGGGAUGAAGGCCUCUGGGCUGUAAACCUCUUUUCUCAAGGAAGAAGAUCUGACGGUACUUGAGGAAUAAGCCACGGCUAAUUCCGUGCCAGCAGCCGCGGUAAUACGGGAGUGGCAAGCGUUAUCCGGAAUUAUUGGGCGUAAAGCGUCCGCAGGCGGCCCAUCAAGUCUGCUGUUAAAAAGUGGAGCUUAACUCCAUCAUGGCAGUGGAAACUGUUGGGCUAGAGUGUGGUAGGGGCAGAGGGAACUCCCGGUGUAGCGGUGAAAUGCGUAGAUAUCGGGAAGAACACCAGUGGCGAAGGCGCUCUGCUGGGCCAUAACUGACGCUCAUGGACGAAAGCCAGGGGAGCGAAAGGGAUUAGAUACCCCUGUAGUCCUGGCCGUAAACGAUGAACACUAGGUGUCGGGGGAAUCGACCCCCUCGGUGUCGUAGCCCAACGCGUUAAGUGUUCCGCCUGGGGAGUACGCACGCAAGUGUG
rnacentral:rRNA from 1 species